CCUACGGGAGGCAGCAGUGAGGAAUAUUGGUCAAUGGACGCGAGUCUGAACCAGCCAAGCCGCGUGCAGGAAGACUGCUCUACGAGUUGUAAACUGCUUUUGUAAGGGGAUAAAGGCAGAUACGCGUAUCUGUCUGAAAGUAUCGUACGAAUAAGGAUCGGCUAACUCCGUGCCAGCAGCCGCGGUAAUACGGAGGAUUCAAGCGUUAUCCGGAUUUAUUGGGUUUAAAGGGUGCGUAGGCGGGUGGAUAAGUUAGAGGUGAAAGCCGGAGGCUCAACUGCGGAAUUGCCUCUGAUACUGGUCGUCUAGAGAGUAGUUGCGGUAGGCGGAAUGUAUGGUGUAGCGGUGAAAUGCUUAGAGAUCAUACAGAACACCGAUUGCGAAGGCAGCUUACCAAGCUACUUCUGACGUUGAGGCACGAAAGCGUGGGGAGCAAACAGGAUUAGAUACCCGAGUAGUC
rnacentral:rRNA from 1 species